CACGUGGGUAACCUACCCAUCAGAGGGGGAUAACACUUGGAAACAGGUGCUAAUACCGCAUAACAGUUUAUGCCGCAUGGCAUAAGAGUGAAAGGCGCUUUCGGGUGUCGCUGAUGGAUGGACCCGCGGUGCAUUAGCUAGUUGGUGAGGUAACGGCUCACCAAGGCCACGAUGCAUAGCCGACCUGAGAGGGUGAUCGGCCACACUGGGACUGAGACACGGCCCAGACUCCUACGGGAG
rnacentral:rRNA from 1 species